rnacentral:rRNA from 1 species
AACGUAGGUGGCAAGCGUUAUCCGGAUUUACUGGGCGUAAAGGGUGUGCAGGCGGGGUUGCAAGUGGUGUAUGAAAUCUCCCGGCUUAACCGGGAGGGUUAUGCCAGACUGCAAUUCUAGAGGACGAGAGAGGGGGGUGGAAUUCCGGGGUGUAGUGGUGAAAUGCGUAGAGAUCCGGAGGAACCCCAGAGGCGAAGGCGGCCCCCUGGCUCGUACCUCGACGCUCAGCCACGAAAGCAUGGGGAGCGAACGGG